rnacentral:rRNA from 1 species
AACGAACGCUGGCGGCGUGGAUUAGGCAUGCAAGUCGAACGAUCCGGCACGCAAGUGCCGGAUAGUGGCGCAAGGGUGAGUAACGCGCGGGUAAUUUGCCCUCCGGGUGGGGAUAACCAGAAGAAAUUCUGGCUAAUACCGAAUAACACACUCUGUCGCAUGGCAGGGGAGUUAAAGGCUCCGUUUCGGCGGAGUCACCGGAGGAGAAGCCCACGUCCUAUUAGCUAGUUGGUGGGGUAAUGGCUCACCAAGGCUUUUGAUGGGUAGCCGAGCUGAGAGGCUGACCGGCCACACUGGGACUGAGACACUGCCCAGACUCCUACGGGUGGCUG